AUUAUAUUAAACCCUGUCAAAGUCAAGGUAAAUGCUGAAAGCAAUUUUUACUACAUUUUAUAUGAUUUUUAUGUUCAUCUGAAAGCUAGCAAUUCCGUUAAAACUGUAUACGUGCUAGCCCAUUGUUCAAGUAUUUUCGUUUUGUACUUUUAGUAGGAUGAUGUGAAAUCUUCUGAUCACGUUUAUGUUUUUGAUAUGAGAGUCCAACAUUUCAAUAAGCGUAAAGAAGAUGGGUGGACAAGGCGUGUAAGAUGUCCAUACACGAUCGGACAAGGUACUGAAAAAAUAAAAUGUCAAUAAAUCUG
rnacentral:sRNA from 1 species